AGAAAAUGAUGAAAACAGCAGUGGUUUUUUAUGGUUGGGCUGAGCUAUGAUAUGAGAUGGGGUAAAUAGGCAUUGUCUCUGUAUAAUUGACGUUGAAGAGGGCCCUCAGACUUAAAUGUUGCAUUCAAGUGUCUCCAUGUUGAUGUUCUAUCUUAUUUUAAUGCUACUAUGUUGAACAGGGGAUAAAUUUAAUAGCUAGUAUUAAUCAUUUAGAUGUUCUUCCAUAUUUUAUUACUUCUUUCAGCAUAUACCAUUGCAGGAGUGGCUUUCUAAUUGUUCUUGCGUAUAAGCAUUCUUUUAAUUAAACUCUCUAUUUCGUGUCUUGGCAAUUCUUAAACCUGCAAUUUGCAUUUCUUUUGUUUAUGCUUUUCAAUAUGCUUUUUAAUUCUCUCUCUCUACAUACAGUAAGAGUCUACUUGGAUUUAAUAAAAAUAAUAACUUUUUUUUUUAAGAAUGUAGAAUUAUUUAUUUAUUAAUUAUCUUUAAAGUGAACAUGACUUUUUUAAUUUAUGAGAAGCAUAUAGUGCGAUCGUGGAGGGCUUUAAAUGAUACGUACUUGCUACUAUUAAAUUGAGAACUAAUCAUGAUUAAAUCUCAUAUACUUUUUAUAAAAUUUUAUUAAGAAUUUUUAUCCUGCUAUAAAAAUUUUGUAAGAAAAAAUAGAAGUCCCCAGCUUUUUAGGUCCAAUUAGGGUUUAUAAUUCCCAAAAUUAAGUGAAAUCAAUCUGAAAAUUAGGUUUGAUCUGAAAAUUAAGUUAGGUUCGAUUCAGUUUUAAUAGCCAUCUUCUAAAAAUCAGUUUAGUUUCGAUAUUUGAUAUGGAAAAACCGUGGUCUGUGGUUUACUGGUUCAACUGGGAGAAUGACAAAAGGGGUUAAGCGACACCGCGUGUGCUUGUAACUCUCAAGCCAAAAGCCGUAAAAACCAAAAUCAAAGUUCGAGCCACACCCAGUCACCCGCACAGCAGCCUUCUUCACUCUCACCUCUCGUUCCCUACCCUUCUCUCUCGCAGCCGAAUAUCAAAUUCCUAAACCCUCAGUCACAUUCGACAGUCGUUCACCCUCGACAAUCAUUCACUCCUUCAGUUCGUCACACACAGUCGACACCUUCACUCACUCAGUUUCUGGGUUCGAUGUAAAUCCCAACACCACCUCUCAAUCUCUCUGAUUGCUAUCUCUUCUCGAUCCCUUUUUUCUCGCUGGCGGCUAAAGGCAUUCACUCUCUCAUUUUCUAGGUUUGAUGGACAGCGCGCACCCACUGCUCACCAAAUCACCAAAUGCAUUAGGCAUAUCUUCUUUUUAAUCAUUCCAAAAAAAAAAAAAAUUCAGAUUUUGCAAAAUAUAAAAUAACACCCUAGUUGUUUUCGCUAGCAGAGACUUCUUCGUGAUUGAUCUAUCAAUCGAGAUGCCAUGGGAGCGUCGAGUGGGCCAAAACUCUCAGGUACCGAGCAUUUAUGCGAGCUGCUCGUUUGAAAUCUCCUAAGGAUCGCCUCCAGAUUGAAUCCAUUGUAUCGGCGGAGUUUCGCCGCAACUCCCAGCAAGUAGAUCGCAAGAAUUUCCUCUACGUCGAGUAUUUGCUUCGCCGGGGUAAGAAACAACUUGAUCAGCUCAAGAUUCCUGAUACUGUUGGAUUAUCUUCUCUAAAGUUCAAUUUGUCUCAACCUCAAAAUCAUAAACCUUGAUCUUUUCAAUUUGGUCGAAGUGAUUGCCGAGUGUCGGUUUGAUUUUAUUUUUAAGAGAAUCUUAGAAAUUUUAUUAUAUCCAAGGAAUGUGUUUUAAUGUAAUUUUUUUUAUUAAAAAAUACAAGUCGGCUUAAGGGAGCUC